rnacentral:rRNA from 1 species
AUUGAACGCUGGCGGCAGGCCUAACACAUGCAAGUCGAGCGGAUGAGAGGAGCUUGCUUCUCGAUUCAGCGGCGGACGGGUGAGUAAUGCCUAGGAAUCUGCCUGGUAGUGGGGGACAACGUUUCGAAAGGAACGCUAAUACCGCAUACGUCCUACGGGAGAAAGCGGGGGACCUUCGGGCCUUGCGCUAUCAGAUGAGCCUAGGUCGGAUUAGCUAGUUGGUGAGGUAAUGGCUCACCAAGGCGACGAUCCGUAACUGGUCUGAGAGGAUGAUCAGUCACACGGGAACUGAGACACGGUCCAGACUCCUACGGGAGGCAGCAGUGGGGAAUAUUGGACAAUGGGCGAAAGCCUGAUCCAGCCAUGCCGCGUGUGUGAAGAAGGUCUUCGGAUUGUAAAGCACUUUAAGUUGGGAGGAAGGGUUGUAGAUUAAUACUCUGCAAUUUUGACGUUACCGACAGAAUAAGCACCGGCUAACUCUGUGCCAGCAGCCGCGGUAAAAC